UUGGAAGUAAAAAAUCGUAACAAGGUCUCCGUUGGUGAACCAGCGGAGGGAUCAUUACCGAGUUAUACAACUCAUCAACCCUGUGAACAUACCUAAACGUUGCCUCGGCGGGAACAGACGGCCCCGUGAAACGGGCCGCCCCCGCCAGAGGACCCCCUAACUCUGUUUCUAUAAUGUUUCUUCUGAGUAAAACAAGCAAAUAAAUUAAAACUUUCAACAACGGAUCUCUUGGCUCUGGCAUCGAUGAAGAACGCAGCGAAAUGCGAUAAGUAAUGUGAAUUGCAGAAUUCAGUGAAUCAUCGAAUCUUUGAACGCACAUUGCGCCCGCCAGUAUUCUGGCGGGCAUGCCUGUUCGAGCGUCAUUACAACCCUCAGGCCCCCGGGCCUGGCGUUGGGGAUCGGCGGAGCCCCCCGUGGGCACACGCCGUCCCCCAAAUACAGUGGCGGUCCCGCCGCAGCUUCCAUCGCGUAGUAGCUAACACCUCGCGACUGGAGAGCGGCGCGGCCACGCCGUAAAACACCCAACUCUUCUGAAGUGA
rnacentral:rRNA from 1 species